AAAAAGCUCGUAGUCGGAUUUUGGCUGAGAACGGUCGGUCCGCCGUUAGGUGUGCACUGACUGGUCUCAGCUUCCUGGUGAGGAGGUGUGCUUCAUCGCCACUUAGUCACCGUGGUUACUUUGAAAAAAUUAGAGUGUUCAAAGCGGGCUUACGCUUGAAUAUAUUAGCAUGGAAUAACACCAUAGGACUCCUGUCCUAUUUCGUUGGUCUCGGGACGGGAGUAAUGAUUAAGAGGUACAGUUGGGGGCAUUCGUAUUUCAUUGUCAGAGGUGAAAUUCUUGGAUUUAUGAAAGACGAACUUCUGCGAAAGCAUUUGCCAAGGAUGUUUUCAUUGAUCAAGAACGAAAGUUGGGGGCUCGAAGAUGAUUAGAUACCAUCCUAGUCUCAACCAUAAACGAUGCCGACUAGGGAUUGGCGGAUGUUAAUUGAUGACUUCGCCAGCACCUUAUGAGAAAUCAAAGUUUUUGGGUUCCGGGG
rnacentral:rRNA from 1 species